rfam:Nicotiana attenuata strain TT chromosome 1, whole genome shotgun sequence.
GGAUGCGAUCAUACCAGCACUAACGCACCGGAUCCCAUCAGAACUCCGAAGGUAAGCGUGCUUGGGCGAGAGUAGUAUUAGGAUGGGUGACCCCCUGGGAAGUCCUCGUGUUGCAUCCC